rnacentral:piRNA from 1 species
ACAGAAAUUGAGUCUUAGCCUCUC